AUUAAACGCUGGCGGAAUGCUUUACACAUGCAAGUCGAACGGCAGCACGGACUUCGGUCUGGUGGCGAGUGGCGAACGGGUGAGUAAUACAUCGGAACGUGCCCAGUCGUGGGGGAUAACGUAGCGAAAGCUACGCUAAUACCGCAUACGAUCUAAGGAUGAAAGCGGGGGAUCGCAAGACCUCGCGCGAUUGGAGCGGCCGAUGGCAGAUUAGCUAGUUGGUGGGGUAAAGGCCUACCAAGGCGACGAUCCAUAGCUGGUCUGAGAGGAUGAUCAGCCACACUGGGACUGAGACACGGCCCAGACUCCUACGGGAGGCAGCAGUGGGGAAUUUUGGACAAUGGGGGCAACCCUGAUCCAGCCAUUCCGCGUGAGUGAAGAAGGCCUUCGGGUUGUAAAGCUCUUUCGGCAGGAACGAAACGGUGGCCCCUAAUACGGGUUGCUAAUGACGGUACCUGAAGAAGAAGCACCGGCUAACUACGUGCCAGCCGCCGCCGUAA
rnacentral:rRNA from 1 species